UACGAGGGGUGCAAGCGUUGCUCGGAAUUAUUGGGCGUAAAGGGUGGGUAGGUGGUCUCAUUUGUCUGGGGUGAAAGCCUUGAGCUUAACUCAAGAAGUGCCCCGGAAACGGUGAGACUGGAGUCCCGGAGAGGGUCGUGGAAUUCCCGGUGUAGCGGUGAAAUGCGUAGAUAUCGGAAGGAACACCAGUGGCGAAAGCGGCUUCCUGGUCCAGCACCGACGUUCAGGCACGAAAGCGUGGGGAGCAAACAGG
rnacentral:rRNA from 1 species